rnacentral:rRNA from 1 species
GACGAACGCUGGCGGCGUGCUUAACACAUGCAAGUCGAACGGAAAGGCCCUGCUUUUGUGGGGUGCUCGAGUGGCGAACGGGUGAGUAACACGUGAGUAACCUGCCCUUGACUUUGGGAUAACUUCAGGAAACUGGGGCUAAUACCGGAUAGGAGCUCCUGCUGCAUGGUGGGGGUUGGAAAGUUUCGGCGGUUGUGGAUGGACUCGCGGCUUAUCAGCUUGUUGGUGGGGUAGUGGCUUACCAAGGCUUUGACGGGUAGCCGGCCUGAGAGGGUGACCGGCCACAUUGGGACUGCGAUACGGCCCAGACUCCUACGGGAGGCAGCAGUGGGGAAUAUUGCACAAUGGGCGGAAGCCUGAUGCAGCAACGCCGCGUGCGGGAUGACGGCCUUCGGGUUGAAAACCGCUUUCGCCUGUGACGAAGCGUGAGUGACGGUAAUGGGUAAAGAAGCACCGGCUAACUACGUG